AUUAAAUUCCAAAUUCCUUCAGUCCAAGUCCCAAUUACAGUGCCCCCAGCAUUGGCAUGGACUGAUGAUUUGAUUAAGCGACGACUAGUCGCUGAGAUAAAGGAGUUUGGAGCAUUCGGACAUGCUGAGAUUGAUUUUGCGUCCGAGAGAUCUCCAUCCGUAGAGAGAACUAUGGAGCCAGAGACUAAUGUGGACCAUGACACAAAUGUUGAUGCUGAAAAUAGUGAUGAAAUAUGGCAUCAAUAUCAUGAUGCAGAACGAGCAAUCGACCAAUAUCAAAGGGGCAUUCAGCAGCAGCUGAGAAUAAUGCGUGGCCUUAUGCAUAAGUUAGGGACUCGCAGACAUAGUGGGGUAAAUUCAGAUGCGGGUGGUCACUCUAGCUAU